UUAAGUUAUUAAGGGCGCACGGUGGAUGCCUUGGCACUAGAAGCCGAUGAAGGACGUUACUAACGACGAUAUGCUUUGGGUAGCUGUAAGUAAGCGUUGAUCCAGAGAUUUCCGAAUGGGGGAACCCAGCAUGAGUUAUGUCAUGUUAUCGACAUGUGAAUUUAUAGCAUGUCAGAAGGCAGACCCGGAGAACUGAAACAUCUUAGUACCCGGAGGAAGAGAAAGAAAAAUCGAUUCCCUGAGUAGCGGCGAGCGAAACGGGAAGAGCCCAAACCAACAAGCUUGCUUGUUGGGGUUGUAGGACACUCUAUACGGAGUUACAAAAGAACAUGUUAGACGAAUCAUCUGGAAAGAUGAAUCAAAGAAGGUAAUAAUCCUGUAGUCGAAAACAUAUUCUCUCUUGAGUGGAUCCUGAGUACGACGGAGCACGUGAAAUUCCGUCGGAAUCUGGGAGGACCAUCUCCUAAGGCUAAAUACUCUCUAGUGACCGAUAGUGAACCAGUACCGUGAGGGAAAGGUGAAAAGUACCCCGGAAGGGGAGUGAAAGAGAACUUGAAACCGUGUGCUUACAAGUAGUCAGAGCCCGUUAAUGGGUGAUGGCGUGCCUUUUGUAGAAUGAACCGGCGAGUUACGAUCUGAUGCAAGGUUAAGCAGCAAAUGUGGAGCCGCAGCGAAAGCGAGUCUGAAUAGGGCGUUGAGUAUUUGGUCGUAGACCCGAAACCAGGUGAUCUACCCUUGGUCAGGUUGAAGUUCAGGUAACACUGAAUGGAGGACCGAACCGACUUACGUUGAAAAGUGAGCGGAUGAACUGAGGGUAGCGGAGAAAUUCCAAUCGAACUUGGAGAUAGCUGGUUCUCUCCGAAAUAGCUUUAGGGCUAGCCUCAAGUGAUGAUUAUUGGAGGUAGAGCACUGUUUGGACGAGGGGCCCCUCUCGGGUUACCGAAUUCAGACAAACUCCGAAUGCCAAUUAAUUUAACUUGGGAGUCAGAACAUGGGUGAUAAGGUCCGUGUUCGAAAGGGAAACAGCCCAGACCACCAGCUAAGGUCCCAAAAUAUAUGUUAAGUGGAAAAGGAUGUGGCGUUGCCCAGACAACUAGGAUGUUGGCUUAGAAGCAGCCAUCAUUUAAAGAGUGCGUAAUAGCUCACUAGUCGAGUGACACUGCGCCGAAAAUGUACCGGGGCUAAACAUAUUACCGAAGCUGUGGAUUGUCCUUUGGACAAUGGUAGGAGAGCGUUCUAAGGGCGUCGAAGCAUGAUCGCAAGGACAUGUGGAGCGCUUAGAAGUGAGAAUGCCGGUGUGAGUAGCGAAAGACGGGUGAGAAUCCCGUCCACCGAUUGACUAAGGUUUCCAGAGGAAGGCUCGUCCGCUCUGGGUUAGUCGGGUCCUAAGCUGAGGCCGACAGGCGUAGGCGAUGGAUAACAGGUUGAUAUUCCUGUACCACCUAGUAUCGUUUUAAUCGAUGGGGGGACGCAGUAGGAUAGGCGAAGCGUGCUGUUGGAGUGCACGUCCAAGCAGUAAGGCUGAGUGUUAGGCAAUCCGGCACUCAUAAGCUGAGCUGUGAUGGGGAGAGGAAAUUGUUUCCUCGAGUCGUUGAUUUCACACUGCCGAGAAAGCUCUAGAUAGAUAACAGGUGCCGUACCGCAAACCGACACAGGUAGUCAAGAUGAGAAUUCUAAGGUGAGCGAGCGAACUCUCGUUAAGGAACUCGGCAAAAUGACCCCGUAACUUCGGGAGAAGGGGUGCUCUUUAGGGUUUCAGCGCCAGAAGAGCCGCAGUGAAUAGGCCCAAGCGACUGUUUAUCAAAAACACAGGUCUCUGCUAAACCGUAAGGUGAUGUAUAGGGGCUGACGCCUGCCCGGUGCUGGAAGGUUAAGAGGAGUGGUUAGCUUCUGCGAAGCUACGAAUCGAAGCCCAGUAAACGGCGGCCGUAACUAUAACGGUCCUAAGGUAGCGAAAUUCCUUGUCGGGUAAGUUCCGACCCGCACGAAAGGCGUAACGAUUUGGGCACUGUCUCAACGAGAGACUCGGUGAAAUCAUAGUACCUGUGAAGAUGCAGGUUACCCGCGACAGGACGGAAAGACCCCGUGGAGCUUUACUGUAGCCUGAUAUUGAAAUUCGGCACAGCUUGUACAGGAUAGGUAG
rnacentral:rRNA from 1 species